UGAGGAUGAGAAAGCACGAGGCAUUGUCUUGUCCUGCAUACAGUUGAUCAUGGAGGCAUGUGAGCUCCAAAGCCACUCUACACAACAGUUGCCUAGGCAAAGAGACUCUCCUUUACCUCCUCCACCUCCCAUUUCACCCCUAAAAUUUCGCCCCAUCCUCUCCUCCUCCUCCCCACAUCAUCGAUCAGCGAGACCAACCGGUGGCCUCGUCCACCACCAUGGUGACUCUGCGCUCUCAGAGAGAAACCGGGAAAUCAGUGCCGCCGGAGGCGCCGGGCCAAGCCGAUCUGGAGUUCUGCAAGUACAUGUCCUACGGACACUCCUGGGAGAAACUGGUGCUGCCUGACAAGUUCGGGAGCGCGCUCAUGGGCCGUGAGCUCCGGGAGGUGAAGCUGCGAGUGGCUGGUGGUGGAGAGCAGCGCGCGUGGGACGUGGAGGUCGUGGCCGACGAGUACGGCGACGUGUACCUCGCUGGCGGCUGGUGGGAGUUCGCCCGCACCAACGGCCUGGAGCUGGGCCAGCUCCUCUUCUUCCGCUACGACGGCGUGGCCCUGAUCACCAUCAGGGUCUUGGAGGGGAAACCCUCACCCGACCAGGACGAGGAGGAGGACGGCGCCGAAGGGAACUCUUCGCCGCCGGCGCCGGCCCCGGCGCCAGCGCCGGCCCCGAUGGGCAGUGAAAGCAGUAACGGUGGCGGCGACACGGCGGACGUGGGAACCGUUGACCCGGCAUCAUCGCAGUUCAUCGUGAUGCUGAAGGAGUGCCACUUCGGCUUGAAGCAGCAUCAGUACCUGCUCGCCACCGCCGGCGUAGGAGACGAUGGCGCCCAGCAUAGGAGCCUGCACGACGGCGAGCCGCGCGGCAAGUACAGGGGGCACCGGCUGCUUGAUUUUGUGCCUUUCGACCGGCGGCGCCGGCUUCGGCUGGACGCCAUCGGUGGGAAAGGAGGAGGAGGGUCGGCGUCGCCUGCGACCGAGCCAAGCGAUGCGAGCAACAGAGGGCAGCGCCGCGAUGGAUGGAGCGACGCCUGUUGGAUCGACCUAAAGUCACCAGGCGACAUCGAGGGGUUCUCUCGCCGCUGUUCGUCCCUCCCCACCGCUGCAGGCUCCUCGUCGGCAGCCCCGUCCUCACAGGCCCAGCGCUCUUCCUCUCCCCCUCUCCUCACAUUUUUCUAUGUCUUCCCGUUCAAUCCCCUUUCGUAGUCAUCUAUAAAUUAUACUGUUCUUAAUUUCAGUUACUUGGUUGCAUAGAUCAUUGCUAUUUUUUUCAGUUUUUGACAGUGUGAUUGACCGACUAGCUUGGGUUUGUUUGUGGGUAUUUGUUACUCUGGUUUACCCCAAAAAUUGUGAUGCUAUUUUAGUUUUAUUUACAAUUCUGUGUUUGAUGCAAACAUGAGUCCUGCAUGUACAGGGAAGGAGUUGGGGGACUUCCUAAAAUCUUGGUGAAGAACAGGGCACGAGGAGUGCAUACACAUGUAGGAAAUAUAAGAGGAGGAAGAAGCUACAAAAGAAAAUUUCUGAAGAAGAAGCCGGAGGUUUCAUAACCUCUUGCUUUGCAUAAUAAACCAUUAUAAGCUCCUUUUGUAAAUCAUGUCGUAGUUUACCCAUCACCCCAAAAGAAUGUUAUAUCAGAUGCAUAAUUGUGCCAUUCAAAUUUAAUCUUCAGUAGAUUAUCAACCACCCAAGAUGAAUUUUACAGACUUAGGCUUUACAUUUUUAUUUUUUGGUUACUGAAUCUGUUUCAUAAUAGCAACUGCAUGUGUUCAUAUAUAUAUAACCUGUAAUAAGGAUUUUCUACUUUGCAAGAUUUGGGCGAAGGUAAAAGCAAAGAUUUAAAUAUGUCCAUUUAUCUGAAUGUCACCUUACUUUGUUGCUCUGAUUGGAAGGUAUAAUGGAAAUACAUCCCCUAUCACACUUCCAUUUUCCUUUGAUUCAUAUCUGUGACCCCUGCGUUGAUUUCUGUUGGCUUGGUUUGAUACCUGCUUGAUUUUGUCCAUGUCAGGAAGUAUUGUGCUGUGGUGGUGGUCUGCUAUCAAAACCAAAGUUGCAGGCAUGUAGAAAUAUGUACCGAGAAUAUUACUCCUCCCCUGCACAUGUACCAAAAGUGUGCCAUUUUCUGAAGUGUGAGCUGUCUUUGCAUGUCUGCUGCUUCCAUGAGAUGGAUCGACAUAAAUUGGUGCUUCUCUAUAGUUUAUGCGUUUCUGGUCUGGUAAAGCGUAUAGAGAGAAGGAUGAUAAUCUGUCCAAGUAAUAUACAAAGCAUUGUUGCAUGGAGGCGGAAGCUUAUGCAUACCUUAAUUAUCUUGGAACAUCGGUCGAUGAUAUUUGCAAUAUAUAGUGCUCUGAAGUAAUACUUCAGUCUAGCAUAGUUCGGAGUUCAUGCUGCUUCUGAAUUUCUUUCAUGUGAGCAUGUUUUGUCUAUAAACUUCUAAAGCACGUCUGUUAAAGUCUUGCUCAUCUUUCCAUAGGAAUAUCUUUCAUGUAAGAAUCAUGAUCCAUGUGAACUAUAUAAGAUGAUGUUUUGUA